AAAGCAGAUGAUUUGGGCUAUUUGUCCUUGAAUGGUGAAGCCAUUUUGAUGACGUGGCAACCAUUUGUUUAGUGAACCUUUAUUUUGAGUGGGAAAAUAUCUACUUCAUCAAACACCAACCAUUACACGCGGGAUCCGAUGAUCUUUGGGUCGGAUUCAUUCUUUACCAAACAAACCGACUUACAAUAUGGAUCCUAUAUAAACUUCUUCUCAAUCAUUGAACCCUAAUUUUUCUUUCUUCUCUUUGUGUGCGACCGCUGGUUCUGUGUUCUAAAUCCAAAUCCGCUUUACAUCUUUGGUGUCGAAUCUGUUAAAACUUCAUCGAUUGUUCUACACAAUCAUCAGAUAAUUAUAUAGCCGGUGAUCCUUUUAGAUGAUGAAUCUGUCAACAAUAGUAGGUAUCGACCCCUUGCAUAACACUCCUUCAUUUCUAAAGUUAAUAGAUGAAGAUUUCCCG